rnacentral:snRNA from 1 species
GAACAUGAGGGUGGGCAAUCUGGCACCCCAUUGAUGCCAGGGUUGAUUUGGCUGGCCUAACUGGUUAGGCAGGUGUUCCCUUCCUCUCUCACUGCUUCAUAUGUGUCCCUCCUAAACUGCACUGUGUGGAAGGAUACAAACUUCCCUAAUAGAAGAGGACCAUUCUUCAGUCAAGGGUAUACAAACGAGCAGCUGUACUCCCUUGCUCAAACUUCCAAACCAGCUCUCCAGGUAGGUACUCCACCAUGAGCUCAAUCAGCAGCCCACUGGAGAAUAGUGUGGAAUCAACACUGUUUUU